AUGCCCGAGACUACCUUCAGAAGCCUAACCGUGCAACAGCUUUAUACCAGGCUCUACCUGCCAGGUGGCUCUCCAGGUGUGCCCUGUGAUUCCCCACGCUCGCCUGCAGGCUGCACUGUUGACGUGGUUAUCUCCCAGGCUCGCACAGCAGGCAAUUCAAACAGGUUGUGUCAACGCUGCAGGUAGGCACUGAAUCCACACAGCCAAGGCUGAAAAAGAUUGCCUCUGCCGCGAGAACUGUGGGCUAAGAACUGUGGUGGGCUGAGAACUGUGGAGAUCCAUUCGUUACUAGGAGUUUCUUAUUUAGUGAAGUUUUCUGGUCAUUUUCUGUACUUCAGGCUGGCAUUUGUGUUGGGCUCCUUCUUGGCCCGAGUCUUGUGCCUAUAGUCACAAAUGCGGUCAGUUCCUAUGUGUCACAGCUCUCUUGUCUCUGGAGACCACUGUUUGGCUAUCGUCAUCCCAUGGCUCCUACAAUCUUUCCACUCCCUCUUCCUUGAUCAUCUUUUGUUUAACUUGCUGAGCCUUUGGAGGAAGGGCUGUGAUAUAGAUGUUCGAAGUCUCUUAGGCUCUGCACCCUGACCAGAUGUGAAUCUCUGUAUUAACUGGCACCUACUGCUCCGGAAGACGCUUCAUCGAUGAAAGUUGAUGUAUGGGCAUCAUGAUUUCAGUAAAAAGCAGUCAGAGCCGUGGGAGCCUAGUGCUCACUUUAUGACUAGUUUACUCCAAGGAAUCCUAGCUGUGUGGAUGCAUAGGACAGUUCUCUUGCUGACCAGGGAAGGUUGGGCCAGAUCAGAGGCUAGGAGCCCAGAGACCCUGAAGUGGGACCCUCUCAGUCAGCAGCCCAAGGGUGAGGGGAUCACACUGGCCUGGUAGGAGUUUAAACGGUAGUAACCAGGGGAGAGACAGUUGCAGAACCCCAACCCCCGGGGUCUGCGCUUUGCUUCCAUCUUGCACGCCUCGGUUUUGCACUACCUUUUGUACCAGUUUACACUACCUUUUCCCCUGAAACCUCAUUUCCUUUUUCAACGCCCACAGUGGGGUAGGGUGCAAAGAACAAAACUAUGUCUCCUUUGCUACAAGUGGGAAUACAGACCCCGUUGGAGUGGCACCUCGGUCCAAUGGCCCUUUGUUCUGCUUCUUAAUGACUAAUUAUCAUGCUAUGAAGUGCUUAUGCAACCUUCAUGGAGUUGCCGCCCUCCUGCUGGAGAGGCUGGAAGUGUGUAAUUCUCAGAAGCCAUGACUGGAUCUUGGAGUUGUGCAAGGAGUAAUUACCGAAUCCAGCCGAGGCUUGCUUCUUAUUACAGGCUCCAGGCUUUACCCCCAGUAGCUUUACAUGCUCGUUAAUAUUUAAACUGCCAAGCAGCAGCAGAAUAUUUUGUAAGCUUCAGGAAUGGCCCCAGGACUAAGUGCCGGCCUAGGACCCAGGACAGGCCGGUUAGGAGAGGGCAAGAGAUCAGGUGGGAUUUCUUUGGGGAUGUUUGUCCUUUUACAAAUGUCGGCCCUGGAAGGGCUCUAAAUUCUGUCCCUUUGCUAGAGAAAAGAAAUUAA
ensembl:lincRNA